UACGUAGGGUGCGAGCGUUAAUCGGAAUUACUGGGCGUAAAGGGUGCGCAGGCGGUUUUGUAAGCCAGAUGUGAAAUCCCCGGGCUCAACUGGGGAGGGUCACGCGAUACUGAUCGACUCGAAGGCAGGAGAGGGUAGUGGAAUUCCCGGUGUAGUGGUGAAAUGCGUAGAUAUCGGGAGGAACACCAGUGGCGAAGGCGACUACCUGGCCUGUUCUUGACGCUGAGGCGCGAAAGCUAGGGGAGCAAACGGG
rnacentral:rRNA from 1 species